rfam:Drosophila willistoni strain TSC#14030-0811.24 scf2_1100000002654 genomic scaffold, whole genome shotgun sequence.
CAACCCCAACUCAUAUGGGACUGAGCGGCGAGCGAAAAGAAAACUUUGUCUUUAUGGCAAAUGUGAGAUGCAGUGUAUGGAGCAUCAAUAUUCUAGUAUGAGAAAUUAACGAUUUAGGUCGUUCUUAAAUGAGGCCAUUUACCCAUAGAGGGUGCCAGGCCCGUAUAACGUUAAUGAUUACUAGAUGGUGUUUCCAAAGAGUCGUGUUGCUUGAUAGUUCAGCACUAAGUGGGUGGUAAACUCCAUCUAAAACUAAAUAUGACCAUGAGACCGAUAGUAAACAAGUACUGAAUAGGGAUUCCCGGAGAGAAGGAAUUCGUUGAAUUCAAAAUAUGAACUGAUUUUAUUUACAAAAGUACGGAGUUUAUAUAGGAAAUCUUAGGCUCUAGGAGGUAACAAUUGUUCUUAAGGAGAUCUUAUUCUAGUACAACUCACACCCACGCAUUCGGGGGUUGAAAAAUUAUUAUUAUUUUGGGCACGGCGUCGGCCACUUGACAUCCUGCCGUCGUGAUCGUUUGGGUUAGUUUACAAUUACAAGUGUUUUUCCCACAACGCGUGUGGCUGAUUGUAAUUCUAGUCACAUGCUAGGUUAGUUGUUUGUGCCAAAGUACAGUUGUAUUAUAUUUUCUUUAGUGCAUCUAAUUUGGUGAAGCCGCUUCAGAUGAACACGAUGUUUAUUCUUAAACAAGUACCGUGAGGGAAAGUUGAAAAGAACUCUGAAUAGAGAGUUAAAUAGUACGUGAAACUGCUUAGAGGUUUAGCCCGAUGAACCUGAAUAUCCAUUAUGGAAAAUUCAUCAUUAGAGUUUUAAUAUUUUAAUAAUAUUAUAAUAAUAGUGUGCAUUUUUUCCAUAUAAGGACAUUGUAGUCUAUUAAUAUAAACCAAAUUUAUCAUAAAAUAUGACUUAUAGUUUAGUUUUUUAGUUUUUUUAUUAUAAAUGUCAUUAAUUUGAUAAAGUGUUGAUAGAUUUAUAUGAAUACAGUGCGUUAAUUUUUCGGAAUUAUAUAAUAGCAUGAUUAUCAUUGAUUUUCUGUGUUUAUUAUAUGCACUUGUAUGAUUAACAAUGCGAAAGAUUCAGGAUACCUUUGGGACCCGUCUUGAAACACGGACCAAGGAGUCUAACAUAUGUGCAAGUUAUUGGGAUAUAAACCUAAUAGCAUAAUAAACUUGACUAAUAAUGGGAUUAGUUUUUUAACUAUGUAUAGAUAAUUAACACAAUCCCGGGGCGUUCUAUAUAGUUAUGUAUAAUGAUAUUUAUAUUAUUCAUACCUCUAACUGGAACGUACCUUGAGCAUAUAUGCUGUGACCCGAAAGAUGGUGAACUAUACUUGAUCAGGUUGAAGUCAGGGGAAACCCUGAUGGAAGACCCAAACAGUUUUGACGUGCAAAUCGAUUGUCAGAAUUGAGUAUAGGUGCGAAAGACCAAUUGAACCAUCUAGUAGCCAACUUCCUUCCGAAGUUUCCCUCAGGAUAGCUGGUGCAUUUAAAUGUUAUAUAAAAUAAUCUUAUCGAGUAAAGCGAAUGAUUAGAGGCCUUAGGGUCGAAACGAUCUUAACAUAUUCUCAAACUUUAAAUGGGUAAGAAUCUUAACUUUCUUGAUAUGAAGUUUAAGUUAUGAUUUUCAUAUCAACGCUCUCGAGGAAGACGGACGUGUUUUUUUUAUGCUCCCGCGUUUUAACUGAUUUUAUAAUUUUUUUUAUUUGUGUUAUCGGCAUUGCGAUCGAAA